rnacentral:rRNA from 1 species
AACGAACGCUGGCGGCAUGCCUAACACAUGCAAGUCGAACGAGACCUUCGGGUCUAGUGGCGCACGGGUGCGUAACGCGUGGGAACCUGCCCUUAGGUUCGGAAUAACUCCCCGAAAGGGGUGCUAAUACCGGAUAAUGUCUUCGGACCAAAGAUUUAUCGCCUUUGGAUGGGCCCGCGUUGGAUUAGCUAGUUGGUAGGGUAAAAGCCUACCAAGGCGACGAUCCAUAGCUGGUCUGAGAGGAUGAUCAGCCACACGGGGACUGAGACACGGCCCAGACCCCGCAGGAGGGGAGCAGGGGGGAUUAUGGAAAAACGGGUGAAGGCCGAAUCCCUCAGGGCCGCAUAGGGUUUGAAGCCCGGAGGGUGGUAAAAAUGUUUAUCCCGGGGUGAAAAGGACAGUCCCGGAGAAAAAGGCCCCGGCAAACCCCGG